AACGGAAAAUUGCCGUGACACUUUGUCGUUUGACAAUGAUGGUUGGUGCAAAGCUCACACACAACUCAUCGACUCGUUCAUUUCGUCGCCGCAUUCAACCGAAGACACACGUGUUUGACGAAAACGUGCCAAAGACUCACAGUAAUAAGAUUAAGACCAUGAAAUUCUUAUUAUCCACCGAAUUUGCAUGGCCACAACCGAAAAUAUCGACGGGAUGAGCUGAAAUUCAACGCUGCAAAUGCAGAUGUGAAACAUGCAUUGGUUUGAUGAAUCCUAACCUAAAUCGCCACGAGUGAUGUGUGCCGCUCUUAAGAGAUUGAACGAUGCAACACUUGAAGAUGUCUUUCUGUGUGCCGGCUUCGUUGCGUGCUUUCAUUGCCGAGGGAACAGCAAAAACCUAACCUCAUCGCAAUGGAUCGAAACCAGAUGAACAGUUCUAUUUAAAUGCAAUUUGAAAUGAACAUGAAUAAAAUCAUUGAAAAAUGACAAAAAAAAUAA